rnacentral:rRNA from 1 species
UACGGAGGGUGCGAGCGUUGUUCGGAAUCACUGGGCGUAAAGCGCGUGUAGGCGGCCCACUAAGUCUGAUGUGAAAGCCCGGGGCUCACCCCCGGAAGUGCAUUGGAAACUGGUGGACUCGAGUCCCGGAGAGGAGAGUGGAAUUCCUGGUGUAGCGGUGAAAUGCGUAGAUAUCGGAAGGAACAUCAGUGGCGAAAGCGACUUCCUGGACCAGUACCGACGUUCAGGCACGAAAGCGUGGGGAGCAAACAGG